rnacentral:rRNA from 1 species
UACGAGGGGUGCAAGCGUUGCUCGGAAUUAUUGGGCGUAAAGAGCGCGUAGGCGGGUUCUUAAGUGAGAGGUGAAAGGUUCAGGGCUCAACCCGAACAGUGCCUUUCAUACUGGGAGCCUUGAGUGUGGGAGAGGCGAGUGGAAUUUCUGGUGUAGCGGUGAAAUGCGCAGAUAUCAGGAGGAACACCGAUGGCGAAGGCAGGUCUCUGGGCCGUUACUGACGCUGAGGAGCGAAAGCGUGGGGAGCGAACAGG